GCCGCAAUUUGUUGGACCUAAUGGGGCAGUUUCCCUUGCAACGUGUGUUGGUGAAUAGGAUCUGGUGAUCCAAGUAUAGCAGGGGCACUUGCAAGUGCCUCAAAAAACAGGGCAUAAUCGAUCAAUUGAGUUUAAAAGGCUGAAAACGACAUCGCUGAUAUCUAAUCUAAUAGGGCACUUCUCCCCUAGGUGCCUCAAUACUGUUCUUUGGAUUCAAAUUUUGGCCAAGUCUCAUUUUGGCGCUAUAUUCUCUCGGGAAUUGGGGAACUGGCGCUUUUCAUUUUUUUUUCAAACCUUAGAAAGUGCUACACAAUUCGGUACACAAUCCACUCUUCCCUCUCUCUCCUCCGAGUUCUCUCUUCCCUCUCUCUCCUCAGAUAUCGAAUUGCAACGGCAGAUUGGAAGGGUUUCUGUGCAUUUUUUACUCUUCCCCUCGGUGUCCGUUCGCCGUGUGUGAGAGAUGCAACUAUGCAGUGUAUAUUUAUAUUUUGUGUGUUCCUUCAAUUGUACUUUGGAGAAGACUAAACCCCGUCGAGAGAAACCAACUUGUUACAGAGAAGAAGAUUGGUAUUGUAUAAUCUAGACUGCCAUCUGCUUAUGCCUGAAAGGGUACAAUAGAUUAUCUUGCAAAUCAAAGUGAAAAAAUACCUUGUCUUUGAUUGUUUUUCAGAAUAAAUGCGCUAACCAUAUUCAGCAACAAUUGGUAUCUGAUCCUCUUCAACCCUCACCACCAAGAGCUAAUGUCAUGAUGGUUUGUUUCCCGGUGCAGAAGGCCAAGGAUUUGAUACUUUUCUACAGUUAUAGUUAGUAAUUAUUCAAAUUGAGUUUGAGAACUCUUAAGCCAUUAUUGUAAUGUUCAAUAUUCACUAAGUUGAAUAGUAUGUUUAAUUCUGUUUCAAAAUUACUUCUUCCUUCAUUUGAUUUUUGUAGGUAGUGGAAUAACUGAUUAAGUUUUUUGGCUUUGUAUAU